rnacentral:rRNA from 1 species
UACGGAGGGGGCUAGCGUUGUUCGGAAUUACUGGGCGUAAAGCGCACGUAGGCGGCUUUGCAAGUUAGAGGUGAAAGCCCGGGGCUCAACUCCGGAAUUGCCUUUAAAACUGCAUCGCUAGAAUUGUGGAGAGGUAAGUGGAAUUCCGAGUGUAGAGGUGAAAUUCGUAGAUAUUCGGAAGAACACCAGUGGCGAAGGCGGCUUUCUGGUCUGUAACUGACGCUGAGGCGCGAAAGCGUGGGGAGCAAACAGG